rnacentral:rRNA from 1 species
GUCUAUGGCCAUACCAUCCUGAACGCACUCCAUCUUGUCUGAUCUCAGAAGCUAAGCAGGGUUGGGCCUGGUUACGACUUGGAUGGGAGAACGUCUCUGUAAAGCAUAGCAGAGGUCUGGCUACUUCAUGCU